UGGGGAAUCUUGGACAAUGGGCGCAAGCCUGAUCCAGCCAUGCCGCGUGGAUGAUGAAGGCCUUAGGGUUGUAAAAUCCUUUCGCCGAGGACGAUAAUGACGGUACUCGGAGAAGAAGCUCCGGCUAACUUCGUGCCAGCAGCCGCGGUAAUACGAAGGGGGCUAGCGUUGUUCGGAUUUACUGGGCGUAAAGGGCGCGUAGGCGGCAAUUCAAGUCAUCUGUGAAAUCUCCGGGCUUAACUCGGAACGGUCAGAUGAUACUGCUUUGCUAGAGUGCAGAAGGGGCAAUCGGAAUUCUUGGUGUAGCGGUGAAAUGCGUAGAUAUCAAGAGGAACACCUGAGGCGAAGGCGGGUUGCUGGGCUGAUACUGACGCUGAGGCGCGAAAGCUAGGGUAGCAAACGAGU
rnacentral:rRNA from 1 species